GACGAACGCUGGCGGCGUGCUUAACACAUGCAAGUCGAACGGAAAGGCCCUGCUUUUGUGGGGUGCUCGAGUGGCGAACGGGUGAGUAACACGUGAGUAACCUGCCCUUGACUUUGGGAUAACUUCAGGAAACUGGGGCUAAUACCGGAUAGGAGCUCCUGCUGCAUGGUGGGGGUUGGAAGGUUUCGGCGGUUGGGGAUGGACUCGCGGCUUACCAGCUUGUUGGUGGGGUAGUGGCUUACCAAGGCUUUGACGGGUAGCCGGCCUGAGAGGGUGACCGGCCACAUUGGGACUGAGAUACGGCCCAGACUCCUACGGGAGGCAGCAGUGGGGAAUAUUGCACAAUGGGCGGAAGCCUGAUGCAGCAACGCCGCGUGCGGGAUGACGGCCUUCGGGUUGUAAACCGCUUUCGCCUGUGACGAAGCGUGAGUGACGGUAAUGGGUAAAGAAGCACCGGCUAACUACGUG
rnacentral:rRNA from 1 species